GAACGCGAAGAACCUUACCAGGUCUUGACAUCCCUCUGACCGCUCUAGAGAUAGAGUUUUCCUUCGGGACAGAGGUGACAGGUGGUGCAUGGUUGUCGUCAGCUCGUGUCGUGAGAUGUUGGGUUAAGUCCCGCAACGAGCGCAACCCCUAUUGUUAGUUGCCAUCAUUCAGUUGGGCACUCUAGCGAGACUGCCGGUAAUAAACCGGAGGAAGGUGGGGAUGACGUCAAAUCAUCAUGCCCCUUAUGACCUGGGCUACACACGUGCUACAAUGGUUGGUACAACGAGUCGCAAGCCGGUGACGGCAAGCUAAUCUCUUAAAGCCAAUCUCAGUUCGGAUUGUAGGCUGCAACUCGCCUACAUGAAGUCGGAAUCGCUAGUAAUCGCGGAUCGGCACGCCGCGGUGAAUACGUUCCCGGGUCUUGUACACACC
rnacentral:rRNA from 1 species